AGCUUUCUGAAUCCGCAAAGAGAUUUCGUCAGAUACCAACCCAUUAAGGCUGAUCAGACUUCCAAGAUAAGUGAAGUU
rnacentral:pre_miRNA from 1 species